UCCUAGUAAGUGUUAGGUGCACGGGAACAUUUGAUUUUCCAAGAGAGUUAUUGCUCACAAGGAG
rnacentral:tRNA from 1 species